AGAGUUUGAUCCUGGCUCAGAAUCAACGCUGGCGGCGCGCUUAACACAUGCAAGUCGAACGAGAAAGCCCGCAAGGGUGAGUAAAGUGGCGUACGGGUGAGUAACACGUGGGUAAUCUACCUUUUGGUGGGGAAUAACCCUGGGAAACCGGGGCUAAUACCGCAUAAUCUCGAGAGAGGAAAGGAGCAAUUCGCCGAAAGAGGAGCCCGCGGCUGAUUAGCUAGUUGGUAGGGUAAAGGCCUACCAAGGCUUUGAUCGGUAGCCGGCCUGAGAGGGCACACGGCCACACUGGCACUGAAACACGGGCCAGACUCCUACGGGAGGCAGCAGUGGGGAAUCUUGCACAAUGGGGGAAACCCUGAUGCAGCGACGCCGCGUGAGUGAUGAAGCCCUUCGGGGUGUAAAGCUCUUUCGGCAGGGACGAUAAUGACGGUACCUGAAGAAGAAGCUGCGGCUAACUACGUGCCAGCAGCCGCGGUAAUACGUAGGCAGCGAGCGUUGUUCGGAGUUACUGGGCGUAAAGAGUGCGUAGGCGGUUUUCUAAGUUUGGUGUGAAAUCUCCCGGCUUAACUGGGAGGGUGCGCCGAAAACUGGAAAGCUCGAGUAUGGGAGAGGUAAGCGGAAUUCCUGGUGUAGCGGUGAAAUGCGUAGAUAUCAGGAGGNNNNCCUGCGGUGUAGACGGCUUACUGGACCAUAACUGACGCUGAGGCACGAAAGCGUGGGUAGCAAACAGGAUUAGAUACCCUAGUAGUCC
rnacentral:rRNA from 1 species